rnacentral:rRNA from 1 species
CCUACGGGUGGCAGCAGUGGGGGAUAUUGGACAAUGGGGGGAACCCUGAUCCAGCGACGCCGCGUGAGUGAAGAAGUAUUUCGGUAUGUAAAGCUCUUUCAGCAGGGGAGAAAGAAAUGACGGUACCUGACCAAGAAGCCCCGGCUAACUACGUGCCACAAGCCGCGGUAAUACGGAGGGGGCAAGCGUUAUCCGGAAUUACUGGGUGUAAAGGGAGCGUAGACGGUUAAGUAAGUCUGGAGUGAAAGGCCGGGGCCCAACCCCGGGACUGCUAUGGAAACUAGUGGACUUGAGUGGAGGGGAGGUAAGCGGAAUUCCUGGUGUAGCGGUGAAAUGCGUAGAUAUUAGGAGGAACACCGGUGGCGAAGGCGGCUUACUGGACUGUAACUGACGUUGAGGCUCGAAAGCGUGGGGAGCAAACAGGAUUAGAUACCCUGGUAGUC